rnacentral:rRNA from 1 species
UACAGAGGUCCCCAAGCGUUGUUCGGAUUCACUGGGCGUAAAGGGUGCGUAGGUGGUUAGGUAAGUCUGGUGUGAAAUCCCUCGGCUCAACCGGGGAACUGCAUUGGAUACUGGGAGGCUUGAGAGUUGUAGGGGUGGACGGAACUCCAGGUGGAGCGGUGAAAUGCGUAGAUAUCUGGAGGAACACCGGAGGCGAAAGCGGUCCACUGGGCAACUUCUGACGCUGAGAUGCGAAAGCUAGGGUAGCAAACGGGAUUAGAUACCCUUGUAGU